UCCCUGUUGUAGUUAAGAAAAACAUGUAAGGUGGAACUGAUAGGAAUCUAACUAUUUUUAAGUAAUGAACCACUUGGCCAGGUACCUCUGCUGAAGUAGUUCAGAUAACAGUUAAACAAAUCCACCAAUCAAAUUUCUUAGUCCUUUAUAGAUGUUGGAUGUUGGAUGUUGGGGAAAGAAGGGUUAUUACACAUUUCAUUGCUCAUUGGUUAUUCUAUAAUGCAUGAUUUCUUCUCUGCCUAAUGCCUUGAACUAGAUUAUGAAAAACUUGUAACAAAUUGUCUUAAUUGGAUGACAUCAAUAUCAAUAUUACAUAUUCACACUGCAUCCUACCAAAAAAGUUGCGCUCUUAAGUUUCUUUUUUUUUUUGACUUGGAUUUGGCUUUUGAUGUCAACUAAACCAAUUCAAUUACAUAAAUGGGGAGCUAUGGAUUGAUGUGCUCAAGUCCACGCUAGAGUAUGGACUCGCACCCAAGUCGUGGACUGAUUACUUGUACCUUUCGGUGGGUGGUACUCUCUCGAAUGGUGGAAUUAGCGGCCAAGCUUUCAAUCAUGGCCCUCAGAUUAGCAAUGUGUAUGAGCUUGAUGUUGUCACAGGUAAGGGUGAGAUCUUGACAUGUUCAGAAGAACAAAACUCAGAACUAUUCCAUGUUGUUCUUGGUGGUCUAGGGCAAUUUGGGAUCAUUACUACAGCUAGGAUUGCUCUUGAACCAGCUCCACAAAGGACUUCAUGUUGGUUUUUCCGGGAAAAGCACUGCUGUUGUUUCUACUGGCUGUUCAUCUAGAAGGUUCUUGUCUUCCUUCUUUAGAGGAUGGGUCAUGGGCGUUAUAUCUCCGUUAGAGGAUGGCCAUUUCUACUUGGAAGACGUCACUGGA